rnacentral:rRNA from 1 species
AUACGUAGGGGGCGAGCGUUGUCCGGAAUGAUUGGGCGUAAAGGGCGCGUAGGCGGCCCGGUAAGUCUGGAGUGAAAGUCCUGUUUUUAAGAUGGGAAUUGCUUUGGAUACUGUCGGGCUUGAGUGCAGGAGAGGUAAGUGAAAUUCCCAGUGUAGCGGUGAAAUGCGUAGAGAUUGGGAGGAACACCAGUGGCGAAGGCGACUUACUGGACUGUAACUGACGCUGAGGCGCGAAAGUGUGGGGAGCAAACAGGAUUAGAUACCCUGGUAGUCCACACUGUAAACGAUGAAUGCUAGGUGUAGGGGGUAUCGACCCCUUCUGUGCCGCAGUCAACACAAUAAGCAUUCCGCCUGGGGAGUACGGCCGCAAGGUUGAAACUCAAAUGAAUUGACGGGG